AUGGGUGGUGGUGCCGCGAGGAGGGUUCUCGAGGCGUGGAAGCUCGGAGUGGUCAAGUACGGCGACGCCCUCAGGCUCCAGGAGAGGCUCGUCGCCGACCGGAGAGCCGGCCGGGUCCCGGACCUCGUGCUCUCGCUGCAGCAUCCGCCUACCUACACCCUCGGCAAGCGGCGCACCGACCACAACCUGCUCGUGCCGGAGUCAAGCCUCGCGGGCCUCGGCGCCGAGCUCUACCGCACGGAGCGGGGCGGCGACGUCACCUUCCACGGCCCGCGCCAGGCCGUGCUCUACCCCAUCCUCUCGCUCCGGGACAUUGGGCUAGGCGCGCGGAGGUAUGUCGAGGGGCUCGAGUCCGCCAUGAUCGAGGUUGCCUCUCUGUACGGCGUCAAGGCGCGGCCGGGGGGCGCCUGCGAGACCGGCGUGUGGGUCGGGGACAGGAAGAUUGGGGCCAUCGGGGUCAGGAUCUCGUCAGGGUUUACCUGCCAUGGCCUGGCCUUCAACAUCGACCCUGAUUUGGGCUACUUCAAGCACAUCGUGCCCUGCGGCAUUGCUGACAAGGAGGUCACAUCGCUGCGGCGGGAGGCCGCGGUGGAACUCCCUCCUGACGAGGUGAUCCAUGGUCAGCUCGUGCAGAGCUUGGCGACAACCUUCCGUUUCAGUGAUGUUAAAGUCAAGGAUGAUUCCGAGUGUGCAGACAUGAUUAGCUCAGCUGCAACUGAGCAACACUGA
rnacentral:rRNA from 1 species